AGGUAGUUCUGUUCAUGGUACUGCCACAGGUUAGCUGGCUGCUCCCCAUAAAGUUUUGGUCCAUGUCCGUGUUCUACUAAAACAAACCAUGAAGCUGGUUAAUAACAGUAACUAGUUAACACUGAGUUAACCUAUCGAGUGGCCUUUGGAGGACUAGACUGCUUAAAUCACGAUGACCUUGAUGAUGAUGAUGAUGAUGAUAAUGAUGAUGACGAUGAUUCCUUGAGCAAUAUCUCCUCCUCUGUGUCUUUGGCAUUAGGAAGAGUGGAUAAAAAGGACACAUCUCCACUUGGAGAGGAAGUGAGAAGCAAGGCUACUUCUGUAGGGGGUCACUCCCUGGUCCUUCUAGCCUGCCCUGUGCACAGGUUGAGGACAGUCCUGUGGCUGGAGAAAGCUGGAUCUGAAGGUUGUAGAAACUUGCAGAAAGAAGCCAUCAAAGUGACUUGGAAAGGAAGAAGAAAGCUUCUGUGCCAAUUGUAGUCAGAGGAGCUGGAACACCUG
rnacentral:lncRNA from 10 species